AUAACUGAACUCGUGCCACGUUAAAUUCACUAGUUUUCUUCCGAUAACUGAAGUCAAGUAACUCUGGACGUGGUCAGUACUUAAAUGGGUGACCGCCUGGGAGGUCACGAGUUGGUGGAU
rnacentral:rRNA from 1 species